rnacentral:rRNA from 1 species
UACGGGGGGAGCAAGCGUUGUUCGGAUUUACUGGGCGUAAAGGGCGCGUAGGCGGCCACCUCAAGUCAGUUGUGAAAUCUCUGGGCUUAACCCAGAACGGUCAGCUGAUACUGCGGGGCUAGAGUGCAGAAGGGGCAACUGGAAUUCUCGGUGUAGCGGUGAAAUGCGUAGAUAUCGAGAGGAGCACCUGCGGCGAAGGCGGGUUGCUGGGCUGACACUGACGCUGACAGCGCGAAAGCUAGGGGAGCGAACGGG